rnacentral:rRNA from 1 species
GACGUAUGGGGCAAGCGUUGCUCGGAUUAACUGGGCGUAAAGGGCGCGUAGGCGGUGGCGCAAGUCAAAUGUGAAAUACUACGGCUUAACUGUAGACCCGCAUUUGAGACUGCGUUACUUGAGUCCAGGUGAGGAAAAUGGAAUUCCAGGUGUAGGGGUGAAAUCUGUAGAUAUCUGGAAGAACACCAGUGGCGUAGGCGAUUUUCUAACCUGGUACUGACGCUGAGGCGCGAAAGCAUGGGGAG